UCACUGGUCAAUGAAAGAGGAGAGAGAGAGAGAGAGAAGAGAGAGAGAGAGAUGGAGGUUGAAGGAUCAUCGAAGAAGAUGAUAGCACCGCAGGAGGAGAUGGUGCAAGCUAGAGUUCCUAUAGCAUAGAGACCAAUGUGCCCACCUCCUCAUUCCUCUCAACAAAUGUAGG